UAUAUAUAGACAGCGAUGGCACCAGUAUUUGUGAAGUAUUUGGAAAUAUCGAACAUUAGCUAGAACCUCAGGACGAGAAACAUGUUGAACAGCGUCUGUUAUUCUCUCUUGUUCAUUUCUUUUGUCCUAGCAUCGACACUCUUUCUAACAGCAGAUGCAGUUGUUAACUGCAAUUGUAAUGCUCCAAUAGGAUGGAGAUGUCGGAGACAGUGCGGUCGACGUUAAUAAGGAAUUUGUAUGACUUAAUGACGAAGUGGGUAUAGGUUACUAUUUACAUACAAUGUAAUUCGGAUGUCAUUUCAAGAAAUAAACACUUUAAGAAAA